GUGCCUACUACAGCAGCACAUAUGCUAAAAUUGGAAUAAUAAAGAAAUUAGUAUGACUCAUGUUCAAGGUUGACAUACAAAUUCAUGAAGCAGUCUUUAAUGUA
rnacentral:snRNA from 1 species